GGUAGCCGGCCUGAGAGGGCGACCGGCCACACUGGGACUGAGACACGGCCCAGACUCCUACGGGAGGCAGCAGUGGGGAAUAUUGCACAAUGGGCGCAAGCCUGAUGCAGCGACGCCGCGUGAGGGAUGACGGCCUUCGGGUUGUAAACCUCUUUCACCAGGGACGAAGCGAAAGUGACGGUACCUGGAGAAGAAGCACCGGCCAACUACGUGCCAGCAGCCGCGGUAAUACGUAGGGUGCNAGCGUUGUCCGGAAUUACUGGGCGUAAAGAGCUCGUAGGCGGUUUGUCGCGUCGUUCGUGAAAACUUGGGGCUUAACUCCNAGCGUGCGGGCGAUACGGGCAGACUUGAGUACUACAGGGG
rnacentral:rRNA from 1 species